UCCCUGAUGGCUCAGAUGGUAAAGCAUCUGCCUGCAGUGCAGGAGACCCGGGUUUGAUCCCUGGGUUGGGAA
rnacentral:tRNA from 1 species